rnacentral:rRNA from 1 species
UUCGCCCUUAGAGUUUGAUCCUGGCUCAGGACGAACGCUGGCGGCGCGCCUAACACAUGCAAGUCGAACGAGAGAGAGGGAGCUUGCUUCCUCAAUCGAGUGGCGAACGGGUGAGUAACGCGUGAGGAACCUGCCUCAAAGAGGGGGACAACAGUUGGAAACGACUGCUAAUACCGCAUAAGCCCACGGGUCGGCAUCGACCAGAGGGAAAAGGAGCAAUCCGCUUUGAGAUGGCCUCGCGUCCGAUUAGCUAGUUGGUGAGGUAACGGCCCACCAAGGCAACGAUCGGUAGCCGGACUGAGAGGUUGAACGGCCACAUUGGGACUGAGACACGGCCCAGACUCCUACGGGAGGCAGCAGUGGGGAAUAUUGCACAAUGGGGGAAACCCUGAUGCAGCGACGCCGCGUGGAGGAAGAAGGUCUUCGGAUUGUAAACUCCUGUUGUUGAGGAAGAUAAUGACGGUACUCAACAAGGAAGUGACGGCUAACUACGUGCCAGCAGCCGCGGUAAAACGUAGGUCACAAGCGUUGUCCGGAAUUACUGGGUGUAAAGGGAGCGCAGGCGGGAAGACAAGUUGGAAGUGAAAUCCAUGGGCUCAACCCAUGAACUGCUUUCAAAACUGUUUUUCUUGAGUAGUGCAGAGGUAGGCGGAAUUCCCGGUGUAGCGGUGGAAUGCGUAGAUAUCGGGAGGAACACCAGUGGCGAAGGCGGCCUACUGGGCACCAACUGACGCUGAGGCUCGAAAGUGUGGGUAGCAAACAGGAUUAGAUACCCUGGUAGUCCACACUGUAAACGAUGAUUACUAGGUGUUGGAGGAUUGACCCCUUCAGUGCCGCAGUUAACACAAUAAGUAAUCCACCUGGGGAGUACGACCGCAAGGUUGAAACUCAAAGGAAUUGACGGGGGCCCGCACAAGCAGUGGAGUAUGUGGUUUAAUUCGACGCAACGCGAAGAACCUUACCAAGGCUUGACAUCUACUUAAAGUCAUGGAAACAUGAUGUCUCUUCGGAGGAAGUAAGACAGGUGGUGCAUGGUUGUCGUCAGCUCGUGUCGUGAGAUGUUGGGUUAAGUCCCGCAACGAGCGCAACCCCUGUUGCCAGUUACCAGCACGUAAAGGUGGGGACUCUGGUAAGACUGCCGGGGACAACUCGGAGGAAGGUGGGGACGACGUCAAAUCAUCAUGCCCCUUAUGUCUUGGGCUACACACGUGCUACAAUGGCUGUAACAAAGAGAAGCAAGACCGCGAGGUGGAGCAAAACUCAGAAACAACGUCCCAGUUCGGACUGCAGGCUGCAACUCGCCUGCACGAAGUCGGAAUUGCUAGUAAUCGUGGAUCAGCAUGCCACGGUGAAUACGUUCCCGGGCCUUGUACACACCGCCCGUCA